rnacentral:tRNA from 1 species
GCCUGGGUGGCUCAGCUGGUUAGAGCAUGUGACUCGAUCUCAGAGUUGUGAGUUCAAGUCCCAUGCUAGGUA